GACGAACGCUGGCGGCGUGCUUAACACAUGCAAGUCGAACGGAAAGGCCCUGCUUUUGUGGGGUGCUCGAGUGGCGAACGGGUGAGUAACACGUGAGUAACCUGCCCUUGACUUUGGGAUAACUUCAGGAAACUGGGGCUAAUACCGGAUAGGAGCUCCUGCUGCAUGGUGGGGGUUGGAAAGUUUCGGCGGUUGGGGAUGGACUCGCGGCUUAUCAGCUUGUUGGUGGGGUAGUGGCUUACCAAGGCUUUGACGGGUAGCCGGCCUGAGAGGGUGACCGGCCACAUGGGGACUGGGAUACGGCCCAGACUCCUACGGGAGGAAGCAGGGGGGAAUAUUGCACAAUGGGCGGAGGCCUGAUGCAGCAACGCCGCGUGCGGGAUGACGGCCUUCGGGUUGUAAACCGCUUUCGCCUGUGACGAAGCGUGAGUGACGGUAAUGGGUAAAGAAGCACCGGCUAACUACGU
rnacentral:rRNA from 1 species